GCCAGCGUAGCUCAGGGGUAGAGCAACGGUUUCGUAAACCGUCGGUCGUCGGUUCGAAUCCGACCGCUGGCU
rnacentral:tRNA from 1 species